UACGGAGGAUCCGAGCGUUAUCCGGAUUUACUGGGUGUAAAGGGAGCGUAGACGGCCAUGCAAGCUCGGUGUGAAAGGUGCGGGCACAACCCGCAGACUGCACUGAGAACUGUAUGGCUGGAGUGCCGGAGGGGCAGGCGGAAUUCCUGGUGUAGCGGUGAAAUGCGUAGAUAUCACGCAGAACGCCGAUUGCGAAGGCAGCUUACCGGCGCUCAACUGACGCUGAGGCACGAAAGUGCGGGUAUCGAACAGG
rnacentral:rRNA from 1 species